UACGUAGGGUGCGAGCGUUAAUCGGAAUUACUGGGCGUAAAGCGUGCGCAGGCGGUUUUGUAAGCCAGAUGUGAAAUCCCCGGGCUCAACCUGGGAAUGGCAUUUGGGACUGCAAGGCUCGAGUGCGGCAGAGGAGACUGGAAUUCCUGGUGUAGCAGUGAAAUGCGUAGAUAUCUGGAGGAACACCGGUGGCGAAGGCGGCAUCCUGGACCAAUACUGACGCUGAGGAGCGAAAGCCAGGGGAGCAAACGGG
rnacentral:rRNA from 1 species